rfam:Stegodyphus mimosarum contig58668, whole genome shotgun sequence.
GCCUUCGUGGUGUAAUGAUCAGCACACUCGGGGCGUAAUCGAGAGGUCCAAGGUUCGAGUCCCGGCGAGAGCA